rnacentral:rRNA from 1 species
UACGUAGGGUGCAAGCGUUAAUCGGAAUUACUGGGCGUAAAGCGUGCGCAGGCGGCUUUGCAAGACAGAUGUGAAAUCCCCGGGCUUAACCUGGGAACUGCAUUUGUGACUGCAUGGCUAGAGUGCGGCAGAGGGGGAUGGAAUUCCGCGUGUAGCAGUGAAAUGCGUAGAUAUGCGGAGGAACACCGAUGGCGAAGGCAAUCCCGUGGGCCUGCACUGACGCUCAUGCACGAAAGCGUGGGGAGCAAACAGG